GGCGCCAGGCGCUCCGGCCGCAAGGGAGCAGGGAGCCCUGCCAGCUGGGCCACCCGAGGGGCGUUGCGGGGCUCCGGGCGGGGUCGACCCGGGGGGCUCCGUCGGGCCCCACCAGCCUUGCGCCUUUUUCGCUCGGUCUCCUUGGCCUCCCGCUCCUGCGACGCCGCUUUCCUUUUCUCUUGCUCCCGAGCUCGGACCUCGGCCAGGGGCCCCGCCCGCCAGUUGGUCGCCUCCUGCAGCACCCUGGAGGCCCAGGGCCGGCGGGGCGGCGGCUGUGGGGAUCCCGGGCGCGGCCCACACCUGGGACAAUGAGCAGGAACCCAGGGAAUGUGACUUCACUGGACGCAGUAUAAAGAUCUUCAGAUGUCCUCCUGCCGGGGAUUGCAGGGAUCACAGAAAGACCAUCGAGGUCCAGGAGCUACCUGCAAGCGGAGAUCCCUCUGGACGCCCCGUGCCUCACCCAGCAAAGCCGGCUCACAACCCUGCGCUCUCAAACCUCUAAAAGGGCUUGAGGUGCCAAUAGGAAAGGAGGCCCGAGAUUGCCACGGCAUACGUGGGCCCCAAGGAGGGAGCCAGGAGUCACUGCCUGCUUGGGCUAAGGGUACCGCGUACGGAAAGGCGGCGGGGACGCGGCCCAGUUCCAGGAGAUGCGCCCAACGAAGAAGCGGAGGAACAGGGUCACGGGAUAGGGCAGACACCCGGCUGCUUUUUGUUUGCUAGACACCAGCGCCAGCCCCUGCCCGGCCCUCCCGGUCUCCUAAGGGUUGGGGGGGUGUCUUAGGCUCCACAGCGCCCCCGACCGCCCUCCUGCACUCCUCACCGUCUCCAUUGCAAGAGGCGCCCGGCUUGGUUUCCUCGCUUUAGGAAACUCUCUUGGGGCAGGCCCCGCCCCACAUCCGGUGCGGCGACGCCACUUCCGCCCACGUCAUGGCAGUCGCCAGACUGGGGCGGAAGGCAAGGAACCCACCCUUCCGGCGGUGGCGGGCCUCGGUAACCGCCCUCCCCCGGGUCCUCGCGGACCGCACGGAUCCGGCUGACGGCGAGGGUCAUGGGACGGAGCCGCUUGUAUUUAAAAUGUUCUUUUUUUAUUUGUCGUUUAAAAACAAACUUGGAAGAAGCAAAAUCCAAAACUUGCCCUUUGCCUCUCGCAACAUAAAUAUGUACAGUUCAGAAUGAUCGCUGAUACAAAACAUGCCAAGGACAGGGGCGCUGAGGGUGGAGGGAGAGAGGGCGCUUUAAAAAAGGGAACCAUUUCAUCCGUUGUUACGAAGGACCAACCUUGCUGUACAGGAUACACACAACACAAAAUAAAGUCUUCACGGGAUUCACACUUGUCAGCGAUUUAUUUUUUAAAAAGGGGGAGGGUCCUGGAGGUGAGGGGAGAAGACUGUAAAGGGGAAAACUGAAAACUGAGUAUGUGCGAGUGUAAACCAACCCAAAAUACAAACACGGGGGCGGGGGGUGGGGUGGGGGAUUCUGAUGCAAUUAUACAGGCAGGGUACUUAAAAAAAAAACCAACCAAAAUUCCAACCUUGUAGCUUGGGUCUGAGUUAUAGUUUAUAUAAAAAUUAAAAACUGUAUAAGGUUUCUUCACUAAAUUCUACAGGACUAUCGGAUACCUAGCAUAUGCUUACAAAGUCUGCCCCAUCCCCUUUUCCCAAUCCCAGGGCCCAAGCCCCAAACACAGCCUGACUCACGGGAGCCAAUCUCCCCCUCCCUGUAGCCUAGACCUUCUGCUCUCGGAAAAGGAACAUCCAAGGGCUGUGGCUUUGAGGGCAGCAGCCCAGUCUUCCUACUGUCUGAUUUAAUUACAGCGGUUCCUGUGGGAGUGGGGGCUGUUAUUCUCUUAAACAUUUGCAGCUUGAAACAGUUGAGGAAGCAGCUUUAAAAAAAAAAAAUCUCCCUACCCCCAACAAUCCACAACCCCCCAAAUUCAAAACAAAACAAAAACAAACCUAAAAUCACAACAGCGACCAAGCUCCCCCUCCAGCAGGCCCGCCCGUCCACCACCACCAAGCCCACCCCUACACUCCAGACAUCUGAUUCUUGAAAAUAUUAAUUACAAAAUGCCCUUUGCCCACAGCCCCUAGAAGAGAACUGCAUAUAAGCUUCAUCUUCAUCCCCACGGUUCCCUACCAGAGAGGGGUUUGGGGCCUCACCCACCCCUUACCUACUCCCACCCCCAGGAAGAGGUUCAACUGCAGCACAAGCUUGGGCAGAAAGGGGAAGGAAAGGGAGGCAAGGAACCCAUCACCCUCUGGCUCCCCCUGGGGUCAGCUCUCUUUUGUGCGUUAUAACAUAGUCCAACUAUACAACAGGGGGUGGGAAUUGCCCAGCCUCUAUACCCCCAUCUUACAGCAGUCACAGCCAGGGGGUGGGGAGUGGGGUGGGGGGUGAGGAAAAGGGCGGUAGGUCGGGUAAUGGAGGGGGCCCCCCCACAAGGGGAGCUCCAUGUGUCCGCCCCACACCCCCCUACCAUUUAUAAACUGGUUUUGUAAAAAGAAAAUAGAUAUAUUUAUAUAGAAUAUAUAAAGCACAAAAAUUAGUAGUUUUACAUUUGCUCUCCCCGGGGGGUGGGGGGAGAGGGGAG
rnacentral:lncRNA from 1 species